GCGCGAAAACUUCACACUGCAGGAAACUGUGAUGAGGGAACUCCAAGUGACUGUUCUUGGAAUAAGGGCUGGGAAAGACCGGUGCCAGCCGCCGCGGUAAUACCGGCAGCUCAAGUGGUCGUCGCUUUUAUUGGGCCUAAAACGUCCGUAGCCUGUUUGGUAAAUCUGUGGGUAAAUCAACGAGCUUAACUCGUUGAAUUCUGCAGAGACUGCCAGACUAGGGACCGGGAGAGGUAUGAGGUACUCUGGGGGUAGGGGUAAAAUCCUGUCAUCCCCAGAGGACCACCUGUUGUGAAGGCGUCAUACUGGAACGGAACCGACGGCCAGGGACGAAGCCUAGGGGCACGAACCGGUUUAGAUACCCGGGUAGUCCUAGGUGUAAACGCUGUGGAUUUGGUGUGUGGGGUCCGCAAUGGGCCCCAUGUGCCGGAGUGAAGAUGUUAAAUCCACUGCCUGGGGAGUACGGUCGCAAGGCUGAAACUUAAAGGAAUUGGCGGGGGAGCACGCAACGGGAGGAGCGUGCGGUUUAAUUGGAUUCAACGCCGGAAAACUCACCAAGGCCGACUGCUAGAUGAAGAUCAGCGUAACGAGCUUAUUGGAUUAUCAGAGAAGUAGUGCAUGGCC
rnacentral:rRNA from 1 species